rnacentral:lncRNA from 1 species
UUGACCAAUAAUAUAAAAAAGAAGAUGUGGUAUUAUUGCCAAUGAGACAACUAUCCACAAAAGACCAAAAUGACACAGACAUUAACAACUAUAGGUCACCGUACGGCCUUCAACAAUGAGCAAAGCCCAUACCGCAUAGUCAGCUAUAAAAGGCCCCGAUAAGACAAUGUAAAACAAUUCAAACGAGAAAACUAACGGCCUUAUUUAUGUAAAAAAAGAACGAAAAAAAAAUAUGUAACACAUAAACAAACGUCAACCACUGAAUUACAGGC